rnacentral:lncRNA from 1 species
UCAAAGCAUGGUGUCUUCGCAAGCUAGCACUCCCGGAGAGAUCGAUCAGUACAUGAGCUUCGUGUGGAUACCUAUAGAGGUCAGACAUGCGUGCGACUAUCAAGUAUCAUGAAGAACCAACUACCAUAGAUUUUGGAUGCAGUGAUCUGCUAUUCACACUCAGGUAUGGAGUUUUGAACUCAAUUCAUAUUUAAAUAUAAUCUUAAUAUAAUUUAGAUAUGAUCUAAUUACAUAUAGAUAUGAUCUAUACUUGCUGAUUUUUAGAUUUCAGAUUUACAUACA